UACGGAAGGCAGCAGUGGGGAAUAUUGCACAAUGGGCGAAAGCCUGAUGCAGCUAUGCCGCGUGUAUGAAGAAGGCCUUAGGGUUGUAAAGUACUUUCAUCGGGGAGGAAAAACAAAACUAAUAAUUUUAUUUCUUGACGUUACCCGAAAAAGAAGCACCGGCUAACUCCGUGCCAGCAGCCGCGGUAAUACGGAGGGUGCUAGCGUUAAUCAGAAUUACUGGGCGUAAAGAGCACGUAGGUGGUUUUUUUAAGUCAGAUGUGAAAUCCCCUGGGCUUAACCUAGGAACUGCAUUUUUGAAACUGAAAUACUAGAGUAUCGUAGAGGGAGGUAGAAUUCUAGGUGUAGCGGUGAGAUGCGUAGAUAUCUGGAGGAAUACCUGUGGCGAAAGCGGCCUCCUAAACGAAUACUGACACUGAGGUGCGAAAGCGUGGGGAGCAAACAGGGAUUAGAUACC
rnacentral:rRNA from 1 species